UACGGAGGGGGCUAGCAUUGUUCGGAAUUACUGGGCGUAAAGCGCACGUAGGCGGCUUUGUAAGUUAGAGGUGAAAGCCCGGGGCUCAACUCCGGAAUUGCCUUUAAGACUGCAUCGCUAGAAUUGUGGAGAGGUAAGUGGAAUUCCGAGUGUAGAGGUGAAAUUCGUAGAUAUUCGGAAGAACACCAGUGGCGAAGGCGACUUACUGGACACAUAUUGACGCUGAGGUGCGAAAGCGUGGGGAGCAAACAGG
rnacentral:rRNA from 1 species